CCUACGGGAGGCAGCAGUGGGGAAUAUUGCACAAUGGGGGAAACCCUGAUGCAGCGACGCCGCGUGAGUGAAGAAGUUCCUCGGCUCGUAAAGCUCUGUCAGCAGGGAAGAAAAUGACGGUACCUGACGAAGAAGCCCCGGCUAACUACGUGCCAGCAGCCGCGGUAAUACGUAGGGGGCAAGCGUUAUCCGGAUUUACUGGGUGUAAAGGGGGCGUAGACGGCGGUGCAAGCCAGGAGUGAAAGCCCGGGGCCUAACCCGGGGACUGCUCUUGAAACUGGGUGGCUGGAGUGCAGGAGAGGAAGGCGGAAUUCCUGGUGUAGCGGUGAAAUGCGUAGAUAUCAGGAGGAACACCAGUGGCGAAGGCGGCUUGCUGGACUGCAACUGACGUUGAGGCUCGAAAGCGUGGGGAGCAAACAGGAUUAGAUACCCGAGUAGUC
rnacentral:rRNA from 1 species